ACGCACUUUUGCACAGUCGCUGUAAUGGCCUGGAUCUUCUAUUAAGCUGCGGAUGGGUGGAAUGUAGUCUGUCACGAGAGCACCCGCUUUAGACCAAUUUGACCUUAUUUCUAAAAAAAAAAAAAAAAAAAAAAAAAAAAAAAAAAUACUAAUUGAUUGGACCCAGGGCAGCCCCCGGUGACGCAUGCGCAGAGGCCUAGUAUGCCAUUAAACUCAACAGCAGCUGCCGGAGGGAACAGGAGCUGUCGUCUUUCUUGCAGAAAAAAGAGAAAUGUAAAGACCUGAACUACUCUGGAAACCGGUUCAGGAGCUACAGCAACAAUGAAAACACAGGGGCUUGCCAAUUCUGUGAGAAUCCUACAUCUGGCACAGAGAUACACAACCCACAUUUGGCCGGAUGCUUGACAGGAGGAGCAGAGCGGAAAUGUCCACCCUGUGAUGACGUCUGGCCACAAGAAUAAUAACAGAUGCCCAACUUUUCAGGCUUGCUGAAUGCAAUCAGGCUUGUAAUACAAUCCUGAUUGCAUUCAUCCCUACAGCCUCUGUCUUAGCAGCAUCUUUAUGUAACAGGAACCAGAGUUGUCAUUUCGCAUGCUGCUACAACACAUGUAACUACAUCCGGCCUCUGCAAAUCAUGGACAAAAUAAUAAAUUAAUCAAAUACAUUUCCCCUAACGUGAGUCAAGUUUUUAUGUUACACCAUAACCUGUACUCUGAUACACUGGUGAUAUUUUGACAGAAUACAAGCAGGCACUUCUGCUCACAUUAUUGAACAAGCCAGAAUCAUUUUUUCUGUUUCUCUAGGCCUGAAGUGAGAGCAAGAGCUAGUUUGAAAUCCUCAUUGAUAAAAAUUGCAAAUCAUUUUACAACAACAACACAUUCAUAACACGUUGAUACAAUUUUCUUGAUAAGCACAAGUCCAAAAUAUUAAGCAGGAAAUUGUGGCUGACUUCUGUCAGAUUAAGUUCUAGUGAGUCAGAGUAUUUGGGGUGAAGGAAAUGACACUUGUCAUGAGUUAAAUGUGUAAGGUCUGAAAAAAUAAAUGGCCAAACACGUAGUUUGGACACCUGAGUAAAUCUGUUUUUGUUUGUCACA
rnacentral:lncRNA from 1 species